AUGAAUCCACAAAAACACCAAAAACGACAAAACGCAUCCCUGUCCUCUCUUUGCUCUGUCGAUCUACAAAACAAAAUUAAACGAGCUGAAGAAGAGAUGCUUGGACUUCAGGAGAAGUGCAUAGAAAUGGAAGCACAAAUUAAACGCCAGCCUGACAUAAAGAUCAUUAAUGAAGGCUGGGGAAUCAAGUUUGGUACAGCCCGAAAUGAGAUUUGUUUCAUGAAAAAAGGCUACAAGAAACAUAUGGAUCUUUUACAACAAGGGUCCGACAAGUUUGAUGCAAAUGAUGCUACUAUAGAAAAGUUAGAAGAAGAGCUCGAACACACACGCAAAAUUAAUGAGGAGCUCCAAGAAAACCUCUACAAAGUGCUGGAAAAAAAUAGAGAAAUCCUUCAACAGAAGGAAGAACAAGACAUAAAGCAAAGAGACAUGCAGUGCAAACUCAAAGACAUUGAGGAAAAAUACAGAGAGUCCACAAUGGCUGAAUUUCAGACUGUAGUCUCUGUCCUCAUUACUCCAGAGAAUAUCUUACCUGCUGUCAGUGAGUGUUUCAAUCGGUUCUCCCGAGUACAAUGGGGGACGAUUGAACAUGGAGUCUGGGACUCUGAUCUCCAAGCAGCACUGGCUGACAUGAUAACUGAAAUAAUUCAGACAGUUUCUACUGGCAUCCUGAACUCGGCACUUCCCGUAGUUCAGAAGUUUAUGACACAUGUGUCCCAAACAGAUAUUAGCAUACCUGUGGUAAAAAUAGCUCCGUCGCUGGGAGACUCUCUCUCAAUGAGCAUUGCCAUCUCUCUUAACAUCCCCCAUGACAAGUAUCAGUCCAUUAAGACGCUGACAAAACUGAUUGAAAUGGAGAUUUCAGAAAAGGUCAACUCGGCUGUGACUCUACUUUUAAACAACCCGGAUUUACGGUCAGAUCCCGCUGUUUAUGUCAGCGGAAAAAUUACAUGCAUAAAAAACCUUCGACGCAUGGUCUCUCAUGCAGCCUCGUAUCUGAAGAGAUGUGCAGGUAAGCUAAGCUGCCUGUGCAUGCGAAAGGGGGCCAGUUCGAGUUCCCCUAGUCCCUCUGAUUCAAGUGCAGAGAGUACUAAAUCAAAGAUCCGUGAGAGGGUGACACUUGAUGAGGUCAGCAUUGCUCUCACCAAAUGGAGCACAGAUGCAGCAAUCACUGAGGACAAAAUGGAAAGUCUAACCAAAGUGAUCGCAGCUGAUGCUGUCAAUAAAAUACUUGACAAUCUGAAUUAUUUAGCUGAAGAUGCCACAGGAAUAGAGCAGUGCACAGAUGCUGUGGCUGCUGAAAGUCUGCAGCCUCCCAGCACGCCAGAAGAAAUAGCUGCAGCUGAUAUUGUCAACACAGUAAUUGAUAAUCUGCAGUCUUCUGAUGGUGAAGAUGUCACAUCUAGUAACAAAUGUGGCUCUUGCAAACCUUUUAAUGUGCAGCUAAUUAUCCAAAAGGUGAAAAACUUUUUUGCCUCAUGCAUCCCACCCCUAAAAACCAAUGAACAAAAGCUGCACAAAGACCACUUCUGCAGCUUUGCCAAAAAGCAGUUUUAUAAAGUGAUAAGAGAGAUAAAACACCUGGUGAAGAAAAACAAAAGGUUCUUCAUCUGUCUCCAAGAUCCGGUCAAGUCACCUGAUAAUCAGAGAGCAGAUUCUAUGGACAGCUACAGUUCUUUCUGUAGGUAUGUAAACACACCAACUAUGCAUACCAGGUUUAAAAGUUCUUCCUCAGUUGAUUUUACCAGUUUCAACCCUUAUCUUGAUCAACUGUUUAAUAAAUUAAAACAGACAAAACACCUUAACCUUAUCCAGAAACCCAUGGAAAACGUAAAUGCAUUUGUUGAAGUUGAGACGUUUUGCAGGGAGUUGACAGAUAAAAUUUAUGACCAUCUCCAGUCAACUCAAAGAUAUUCACUCCCUGUGAUGCUACUGGGAAGAAGUCUUUCAGACUCUGUGAUUUCUAGGUCUCCAGAGCCAACAGGUGAGUUACCUUUUUCGCCCGAAGUCCUCUAUGUAACUGUAGAAGACUCAGUGCAAAAGUUUUUGCAAAACAUUCUUCUGUGGUUAGAGAAUGAUGCUUUGGAUGAAACUGUCCAAAGUGACAAAGUUUCUGGUGCCGUGGAAGACAUCCAGGAUGUGAUUUUACGAGCACUAACCCCAACAGAGCAAAGAGAAUGCGACAGACUGUCUGAACCAGAGUCAAGUCCAGUUUCUCCUCACAAAAAUCAACCCAUCUCCUGUGUGAGUGUACUAGAGCAGGACCUACCUCCAGAAAAAAGCCCUGAGCCUGAGCCAGUCGCUGACACUGGGCCUACAGAAGGUCAAAGUCAGCCAUCAAUCUCUAAAAACUUACAGGAGGAACCUUCAGAAUUUUUUAUAUCACCUUUUGCUGCUGAGAAAAUUGCCAAAGACUUCAGCGCCGUUCUGUUACCGAGUCUCCUCGAGAAAUGCAGUUUUGACACAAGAAAGACAGUGAAUACAGAAAAAAGAAAGGCCAUCACCAGGCGUCUUACACAUCUGGUUUUAGAUAACGUCAGAAGCUCAGAAUAUCUGAGUGCUCUUGAAAAUAACAAACUUCAGAUUGUAAAGAAAAUGACUAAAGCCCUUAGAAAGGAGCUUGGCUCUUUAGAUCAAUUCGUACAUUCUGUUCUUACACCAGAUGAUUCAACAUUUGCUCAACUUUUUCUGGCUCAUCUGGAAAUCAUUAUUGAGGUUGUACUCAAUCCCCCAAUGAAGUCUAAAAUUGCUAGGUUCUUUCGAGCAGUGGGAAAAGCUUUAAUGAAGCCGUUCAGCUGCUGCUUUAAGGGCAGCAGUGAUGACUAA
ensembl:lncRNA